GCUCACCUUGCCUUUGAGAGUGACCACUCAGGCAUGAGCUGUUUAAGACGAGAACAGGAGUGGGAAAUGGGGUGACGGGGACACCACAAUACUUCACAAACCUGUUAACUCAGUGGGACAACACAAAACAGAUCAUAAUGACAAAAGAAAGUCCAGGUCACAAGCUGACAGAGUCUGUGAUUAUCAGCUCUUCAUCCUCAAUGACCAAAAGCAGGAAAGCAAGACAGCAAGGACAGUGACUGUGCCCUCUGCGGCAGCUUGAAGGGUCUGGAUAAAUCUUUUUUUAAAUACCUGCCCUGUUCACUAACUUGGGAACUUCAGGACAUUGCAAUCAUGUCUCCCAAAUUGGAAUUCCACCUGCUGUGCCCAACAUGUGGUAUAAAACACACAUGGAUAAAUGUACUUUGUAUUUCAGUUAAAAAACCAUAAUUCACCAUAUGUAUGCUGAGGGCACAAACAGCCAACUCCUGGUAUCCAGUUAUCUAGAAUGAUGAUCUCACUGUUAGCCCUCUG
ensembl:lncRNA